ACACUGGACAGUUGUCAUGUAUUAUUGGAUGCUCCAAAUGUGGGCAUGGCACAGCGGCAAACUGUUGUAUUUGAUUCUGGCGUUGUUUGAAGGUUCAAACGAUGCAUUCAUGGCCCUUUGAUCAUCUGUUGGAAUCUCAGAAUGAAACACCUGUGCAGGCCGUCCGUUGCAGCAAAGACACCCGACAGUGUAUAAAUGGACAUUUUGUCAUACUGUCGAGACAGUUACAUCGAUAUUACUGCUGCGAAAAUGGCACAUUUCUCGUCUCCUGCAAGGUUUAUCAGCAUAGAUGACCCCGAGGUGGACUCCAUCAGGAGCCAGUGCCAGGUGUUGAGUUAUUCAUGCAGAGAUCGCAGUGUGCCCAGGGUUGAAUUAAAUCAACAAUGUGUGGAGGUGAGCCAUGACAUUAUGGCCUAUGUGACCAGGGAGAUGGAGCAGAAGGAACGGGAG